UGGGGAAUCUUGCACAAUGGGGGCAACCCUGAUGCAGCGACGCCGCGUGAGUGAUGAAGGCCUUCGGGUUGUAAAGCUCUGUCUUCUGGGACGAUAAUGACGGUACCAGAGGAGGAAGCCACGGCUAACUACGUGCCAGCAGCCGCGGUAAUACGUAGGUGGCAAGCGUUGUCCGGAUUUACUGGGCGUAAAGGAUGCGUAGGCGGAUACUUAAGUCAGAUGUGAAAAUCCCGGGCUUAACUUGGGAACUGCAUUUGAAACUGGGUAUCUAGAGUGCGGGAGAGGAAAGUGGAAUUCCUAGUGUAGCGGUGAAAUGCGUAGAGAUUAGGAAGAACACCAGUGGCGAAGGCGACUUUCUGGACCGUAACUGACGCUGAGGCAUGAAAGCGUGGGGAGCAAACA
rnacentral:rRNA from 1 species